rnacentral:rRNA from 1 species
UACGGAGGGUGCAAGCGUUAUCCGGAUUCACUGGGUUUAAAGGGUGCGUAGGUGGGUUGGUAAGUCAGUGGUGAAAUCCCCGAGCUUAACUUGGGAACUGCCAUUGAUACUAUCAAUCUUGAAUACUGUGGAGGUCAGCGGAAUAUGUCAUGUAGCGGUGAAAUGCUUAGAUAUGACAUAGAACACCAAUUGCGAAGGCAGCUGGCUACACAAAUAUUGACACUGAUGCACGAAAGCGUGGGGAUCAAACAGG